AAAGAGCUCGUAGGCGGGAGCGUAAGUCUACAAUGAAAUCUCAAGGCUCAACUUUGAGGCUAUUGUGGAUACUGCGCUUCUUGAGAGUAUCAGAGGAUAGUAGAAUUCCCGGUGUAGCGGUGAAAUGCGUAGAUAUCGGGAGGAAUACCAGUGGCGAAGGCGACUGUCUGGGAUAUUUCUGACGCUGAGGAGCGAAAGCGUGGGGAGCAAACGGGAUUAGAUACCCUAGU
rnacentral:rRNA from 1 species